rnacentral:rRNA from 1 species
UACGUAGGGACCAAGCGUUGUUCGGAUUUACUGGGCGUAAAGGGCGCGUAGGCGGCGUGGUAAGUCACUUGUGAAAUCUCCGAGCUUAACUCGGAACUGCCAAGUGAUACUGCUGUGCUAGAGUGCAGAAGGGGCAACCGGAAUUCUUGGUGUAGCGGUGAAAUGCGUAGAUAUCAAGAGGAACACCUGAGGUGAAGACGGGUUGCUGGGCUGACACUGACGCUGAGGCGCGAAAGCUAGGGUGGCAAACGGG